UCUGCUCCUCUGCUAGGUUUGCAGGGGGGGCCAGUGGCAACAAGAUAACUAUGCUGAAGGCCGCUGCUUCUUCCUUUUCUCUUUGUGGGCAAAUCUGCCUACUACCUCUUCAGGUUCAUCUUACUACUGCUGUUGCUGGUAAAGACUCUUUUGAAAAACUUCGGGAAGAGUAUAUAUUUAAGCUCUCCCUGAACACUGCAUGACAGUGAUGCACCUGGCUAUCAAUAAAACAGUAAAAGUGACCAAUGCAGAAAGUGGUGUGCAGGCUGGCAGACUGGGGAUUGAACUGAGGACCUCCAAAACAUGAAUCUCUACAGAUCAAGCUAAAGAGCCCAGCUCGCAUAGGGAGAGCUGCAACAGACUCAUAUCCUCAGUAGAUCGGGCACAGAAGGGAAAGGGAUGGACUCAUAACAGCAGAGACAAUAUUUUCAGAAGGAAAUGUCAUUUUCAAGUUGGCAAUGCCCCUUUAAAUCUAGGAUGGACAGAGGAGUCCAACUUUCCAGCUAAAUAUCCAGAAUGUAAAUUGUUAAAAGAAAGUCUCCACACCACACGUUUGAGCUCAAGAUGUUAGACCUGAUGGGGUUGGAGAUUUUUCCAAAUGACAUGGUCUAAUUUUCUACUGCUCUGAACAACAAUGGAAUAUUCAUGUUACUAAAAUUCCACUGUAGCUAAAUCACUUAUAUUAAGAAUUAAAACACCAGCUAUUAACUGCAAAAUCUGGGGAGAGUUCUGGAUUAUAAAAUAUUCCAUUAUGAAGACAACGAAACAAGUUUUCCACAUAAAACAGUUCUUUGCAGACAGGGAGUGUUUUAUCAACAUAGUGCAUCUGUGCAGGAAUUAACAAUAAUUUGGCUGCUCGUGCUGCUGGUCUAGAGGGCAAAGGGUACUGUGUAGCAGGAGUAUGUCUGGCUGCAGAACAGUAACGGUGGCAGUACAAAAUACACCAGAAGAACAGGGAUAAAUAUUACCAAUACUUUUCAGACUUCCCAUUGUAUCACAGAAGCAUUAUGCCUUCUCCAACAAGUUAAUGGACAUUCCUCCUCCCCACUACCAAACACAGUCCUGGUUGAUGGACCCAACAUGCAAGCCACUUAAUAGAGAUAUAAAGUACUCUGACAUAUGUAAAAUAAGGACAACAACAGAAAAUACCGAAAGUUACUUAAUGACACGAUAAAAUUACCUCCUGAAUCCUAAUAUUCUGCAGAAGGAAUUAAAAUAGUGUAUUAAAAUAUUUGUGCAUACUAGUUAUGAAUGUGCAGAGAAUGGAUCACACAUGUAAAAGUAUAUUCAAUGUGAUAAGCACUGUCUUAUGGGGAGAAUGUUAAAAUAGGAUUCUGUUUAGUGCAAAUA